GCAUCUGAAGAAACAAAGCCAUGCAGAUUAUAAAUAUUGCACGUAUAACAACACUGGAAUCAGUAGAGUUACACACUACCUGUACUUCUGAGUGUUCAGCAAAAAUUCUGAACCUACUAUAAAAUAAAAACAAUGCAGAAGGAAGGCAGGUGGAAAUAUUUAAAUCUCUCUCUUAAAUAAACAGGAAUGGAGAUAUUUGCAAAGAUUUUAAAUGGAAGUUAAUGUAUGUGAACAACAAUAUAAUGAAAUAUUGCCAACAGACAACCCAUUAAGAAUGAGAUAAGAACAUCAUCAUUAACUGAAGUGGGAGCAAGAUGAGGCUUUGAAGAUAACCCCAUACCAGUCUACUGAAACAAGGCCAAAAUUUGCAGGUACAGAAGACUUCCUGUGCGUGAAACCAUGAAUGCAACACAAUGAUCAAGAGCACGUGUUAUUAACCUUGCAGCAUAUUUAGUUUUCUUAUUGGUAUUUUUCUUUAAAAAAAAAAAAUCUUGAAUUGCCACUACAGUAAAGUCUUUACAUAAACGUGGGGUUAAGACACAAGAACACCAUGUCUAUAUUUUUAACACUUGCUUAUAUGGCACUUAGUGACAUCUAAAUCACAGGUUUGGUUCUGUCUAAUACAAACACAAGGACUACUCUUUCCACACCACAUUUCAGUAGUGCAGGUCUCAGGAACAGACUCAGAUCUAUGUCUACUUCUAGCGCCACUGUGACUGCCUCCAGUUUUCACAGCUCACUGCUCUACUGCAUUUCCCUUGUCAGAGCCCCUUAUUACCUUUAACUUACAUAGUAAUCUCUUCUGAACUGAGAUUACCUUUUCUGCCAUGUUCGUAUUCCACUUGACAAAAUGAGCUCCCAUCAUAUUACACACUUUAAUGGUGAUUUCUAGAAAAAAAAAAAAAAAAGAAAUGUAGAAAAAUAAUAAAAGCAAAGUAAUAGGAGGGGAAUGUCCUGGACGAGGAGCAGGGACUGAAAGAAGAAUAUUCUGCUCUAGGAAUAUGAAAGCGGUAGGAGGAGCUAGAUAAAACCAUGGAGAAGGAGAGCCUAUUGGCCUAUAUAAGCUGGGAAGCAUCUUUGCAUAUGAAACAUGGGGAGCAGUAGUUUCAUCAUGCAAGCCAACAGUAACAGCUGUUUGUGAGACAAUGAAGUGAAAGGACUAAAAGAAGUACUGAUUAAAGAGUUUAUCUGCUCCACAGCCUGUCACCCACUGGAGAGAAUUUGGCCCUUUAGGAGCACUGAAACACACUGAGAUCAAGAAAGGGUGGUAACAACGAAGUGGUAAGGUCUCGUGUUCCUAGAUUAAUUGCACAACUGAUUAAAGCAGCAGGGCUUUUGGCCUUGUAAAUGGCAUGAAAAGGUACUCAAACAUUCUCUUUCUCCCAGAAUCUCAUUUACAGAAAUUGAAAACAGAUGCAAAGACUGUUUUCAUUAUUGCAUAAAAUUAAGGUGUGUCUACACUUGAGGUACCAUUCGGAGUACUGAUCUUCCCAGCUCAGAAAAGAUGUGAGAGACUCAGAAGGAAGUGAGCAACAAUAAUGAUUGGAUGUAUGACAAUACCUGCAUGAGCAGAAGCUAGUCAGACAUUUGGGUUAGAGAUGACUGAAGAGUAUUACAGUAUAUUUAAAUGAAAUAAUUGGUAGGGGCAAAGUAGCUCAUGAAUUCAGGAUGCAGGUGAACUAAAACGUAGAAAAUGAAACACUUCUUCGCAUAAUUAAAUUCCAUGUGAGAUGCUGUGGAAGUCAGAACUGUAAAGAGACACCAGAGAGAGGUAAUGGCACAUCAAGGCUUUUAAGCAUUGUGGCACAAAUGAAAGAUCUGGGUCUGAAGUCCCUAAGUUGCCAUUUAUAGAAAGGUUGGAUGGUACCAGGGAAAGAUUAUUCUGUAUUUUCUCUGUUUCUCCCACUUCUCCCUAAACAUCUGCUACUGGAUAUUGCAAGACUACUCAUUUGUAUCUCCUCGCUCUGUUUGUAACACCAUUUUAGCUUUUUUAAGACAAAGUAGCUCAACUAUAAAAUGAGAUAGCAACUAUAAAAGGCAGCAAGAACACCUUUCUAUCUCUACGAAGCUACACUCAGAUAGAAAGCAACAUUGACAAAAUAGCAACACAGGCAUGUGGUAUUCAAUUAUUUACUAUUAUUGUCAUUUUCCACUGCUCUCAGAUGGCAUUCUCAAACUAGCCGGACAGCUAACAGAACUAUGUCCUAUCCCCAUUAAUUUCAUGAAACAGAAUUUGCUUCUGCAGAACAUCAGGGAAGUCAGCCACAUAAAUAUAUGGGUCUCAAAAAAUUGAUGCAAAAGCAUUAAGCUUAGUUUAAACCUCCCCCCUAGUGAAUAUGUUAUGCCAAUGAAGGAAAUGAUGCAAGAUUACUAGGUUGAAAGAAUUCAUCAUCUACUCUAGAUUUAAGGAAAUGAAAUGAUUUAGAGUCUCAGAAAUUGCAAUAAUAGAUUUGAGUAUGUAUUUUGGACAAAUAGAAUUACAGACUUGAUGGCAUAAACAGAACUGCUGAAGAAAGUCUGUCCCUGUUGGAUACAUUGCUGUUAGUUACUUAAUAUUUUCAGCAACAAUUUCGGCUACAAUGUAUUGAACUCUUCCUAGUGCUUAGUGAUGGGAAACUUCUAGUAAAGCUCACCAGAAGGACAGCUUCAGUUUUAAGAGUUCUCGCCAUGCAGCAAUUGGCUAUACUUCGUAUAUUGUUGCUCAUUAUCAUACAACCCUUACCUGUUCCUCUGCUUUAUAAUGAUGUGCAAUAUCUGUUUCAGACUGAUUUGGGCAAAGACUUAUCAGAAAUUACAGUCCCUACCAUGCAAUUAAUACCCAUAUAAAUAUAAGAUGCAAUUGAUACUUUUUAAACAAUUGUAUAGGUCAAAAACAGGAAAACAUGUAUAAUUCAUUCCAUGGAAAGAAAGCACAUUCUACUAAAACCAAGUGCCUUUUCAUCACAGUGGUAGUAAAUAUGCUGUUGAUUAUAUUCUACACAGGACUUCAUUUAAUUGAUUCUCUUUGCUGAAGCUUUUAUUAGCUUGACUUACAACCUCAACACAGAAAAAGUGUUGGAAAGUUUGAUUUUUCUCUGUUCAUGACUUAUAGAUGUUCUGAAAAAUAUCAGGUUUGUUGUUUGAAUCAUAACGUUUGUGUACGAAGUUCAGAAUUUUUCUCUUCAUUCAUGUUUGUACCCUUAGUCUACCCAUUGAAAGACUGAUUAGUAAGUUAUGGGGUGUCGUGUAUUUAAAUAAUAAAGCAAAUCAUACAUUGUUAAAAAAACAGAGAGAGAGAGAGAGAGAGAGAGAGAGGAUGCAAAAUCAAGUUCCAUGGAUUCUUGUUCUGGUGAUCUGAAGUUUAGUCAGGUCGUUAAGCAGAAAUAGAAAGAACACCCCAAGCCCAGCCAGGACUGCUUUGAAAUUUCAGUCAGACAAAGACUGAAGUUGUAAAGAUUAAGAACACAGGAUCAAUAUGGCUCUAUCUCCUGGAAGGAGGCUGUAUUAAAU
rnacentral:lncRNA from 1 species